rnacentral:rRNA from 1 species
GACCGUGUACAAGUCUCCUGGAAGGGAGCGUCGUAGAGGGUGAGAAUCCCGUCUUUGACACGGACUACCAGUGCUAUGUGAUGCGCUCUCGACGAGUCGAGUUGUUUGGGAAUGCAGCUCAAAACGGGUGGUAAAUUCCAUCUAAAGCUAAAUACAGGCGAGAGACCGAUAGCGAACAAGUACCGUGAGGGAAAGAUGAAAAGAACUUUGGAAAGAGAGUUAAACAGUACGUGAAAUUGCUGAAAGGGAAACGCUUGAUGUCAGUCGCGUCCGCCGGGGAUCAACCUUGCUUCUCGCUGGGUGUACUUCCCGGUCGACGGGUCAGCAUCAGUUUCGGUCGCCGUACAAGGGCGAGGGGAACGUGGCACUCUUCGGGGUGUGUUAUAGCCUCUUGUCGUAUGCGGCGCUCGGGACUGAGGAACUCAGCACGGCUUCAGCUUGUGCUUAGGAUGCUGGCAUAAUGGCCUUAAGCGACCCGUCUUGAAAACACGGACCAAGGAGUCUAACAUGCCUGCGAGUGUUUGGGUGGCAAACCCGAGUGCACAACGAAAGUGAAAGUUGAGACCUCUGUCGUGGAGGGCAUCGACGCCCGGACCUGAGUCUUUGACGAAGGAUCUGCGGUAGAGCAUGCAUGUUGGGACCCGAAAGAUGGUGAACUAUGCCUGAAUAGGGUGAAGCCAGAGGAAACUCUGGUGGAGGCUCGUAGCGAUUCUGACGUGCAAAUCGAUCGUCGAA